AUUGAACGCUGGCGGCAGGCUUAACACAUGCAAGUCGAACGGUAACAUAAAGAAGCUUGCUUCUUUGAUGACGAGUGGCGGACGGGUGAGUAAUGCUUGGGAAUCUAGCUUAUGGAGGGGGAUAACUACGGGAAACUGUAGCUAAUACCGCGUAAUAUCGAAAGAUUAAAGUGUGGGACCUUCGGGCCACAUGCCAUAGGAUGAGCCCAAGUGGGAUUAGGUAGUUGGUGAGGUAAAGGCUCACCAAGCCGACGAUCUCUAGCUGGUCUGAGAGGAUGACCAGCCACACUGGGACUGAGACACGGCCCAGACUCCUACGGGAGGCAGCAGUGGGGAAUAUUGCGCAAUGGGGGCAACCCUGACGCAGCCAUGCCGCGUGAAUGAAGAAGGCCUUCGGGUUGUAAAGUUCUUUCGGUAGCGAGGAAGGCAUUUAGUUUAAUAGACUAGGUGAUUGACGUUAACUACAGAAGAAGCACCGGCUAACUUCGUGCCAGCAGCCGCGGUAAUACGGAGGGGGCGAGCGUUAAUCGGAAUAACUGGGCGUAAAGGGCACGCAGGCGGUGACUUAAGUGAGGUGUGAAAGCCCCGGGCUUUACCCUGGGAAAUUGCAUUUCAUACUGGGUCGCUCGAUACUUUAUGUAGGGGUAGAAUUGCACUGUGGAUCGGUGAAAUGCGUAAUAUGUGGAGGGAUGCCGAAUGACUGAUGUGGCCCUUGUGAAUGUGCUGACCUGUGUGUGUCGAGUGUGUGGGAGUGAUGUGCGUUGAAUACAUUGUAUUGUAUGGUGAAUUUUGCUUGUGGUGUCACUUGUGAGUGCGGCCGCGUGUGGGGGGUGUGUGUGUGUGUGCUCGUGUGCUAUGUUAGGUUGUUUAUUAAAAACCCCUGCACUCUCGAAGCUAUUUUUAGAGCGUGUGUGUCGUGUGAUUGUGUGUGUGUUGGUGUGAUGUGUAUGUUUGUGUGUGUGUGUGUGCUGGUGGUGUUGGUGGUGUUGUGUGUGU
rnacentral:rRNA from 1 species